rnacentral:rRNA from 1 species
UACGUAGGGGGCUAGCGUUGUCCGGAAUCAUUGGGCGUAAAGCGCGUGUAGGCGGCCCGGUAAGUCCGCUGUGAAAGUCGGGGGCUCAACCCUCGAAAGCCGGUGGAUACUGUCGGGCUCGAGUGCGGAAGAGGAGAGUGGAAUUCCUGGUGUAGCGGUGAAAUGCGCAGAUAUCAGGAAGAACACCCGUGGCGAAGGCGGCUCUCUGGGACGGUACUGACGCUGAGACGCGAAAGCGUGGGGAGCAAACAGG